rnacentral:tRNA from 1 species
GCCGAAGUGGCGAAAUUGGUAGACGCACAGGACUUAAAAUCCUGUAUUCAGCAAUGAGUGUGCGGGUUCGAUUCCCGCCUUCGGUA